CAGCCGUAAACUAUGCUCGCUAGGUGUCAGGCAUGGCGCGACCGUGUCUGGUGCCGCAGGGAAGCCGUGAAGCGAGCCACCUGGGAAGUACGGCCGCAAGGCUGAAACUUAAAGGAAUUGGCGGGGGAGCACAACAACGGGUGGAGCCUGCGGUUUAAUUGGACUCAACGCCGGACAACUCACCGGGGGACGACAGCAAUAUGUAGGCCAGGCUGAAGACCUUGCCUGAAUCGCUGAGAGGAGGUGCAUGGCGUCAGUGACU
rnacentral:rRNA from 1 species